CUUAUGUAAGUCUGCAAUGUUGUACUGAGUCUAGGUUCAAGAAUCUGCCCUUGGAAUGCAACAGAGAUACAAAGAAUGGUAAUUACAGCCUCUUCCUCAGAGGAACCUACACUUGAGUUGGGUUAGGGAAAGAUGAAACAAAUACACGGGUAUGGCAAAAUGUACCAAGGGUCACAAAUGUAACACAAAACUCCUCUGGAAAUUGGAUAGAUUGAGAAGUGGAAUCCUUGGAGUGUCAAGGAAGACUUCAUGAAAGAGACAGUAUUUGAGUGGAACUUAGAAGGGGUGAUUUCAUCAGAAGGAGGAAAAUGUCUUUAUCAAGUGAAAAGUAAGUCCAGACCCACUGCAAACGCUGGUGAAAAUAAGGAAGAAUCUAUUUUCCCAUCUCUCCUGGUCAUCUUGGGCUUUGUGAGCAACAUGGUGACUGACAGGGAAAAACAGCAGAUGGAAAAGAAACACCACUUCAGGGACUGGAGGUGUCUUCUUAAAGAAUCUAGGGCUACCCUGGUGGCACAGUGGCUAAGAAUCCGCCUGCCAAUGCAGGGGACACAGGUUCAAGCCCUGGUCCAGGAAGAUCCCACAUGCUGCGGAUCAGCUGAGCCCGUGAGCCACAACUACUGAGCCUGCGUGCCACAACUACUGAAGCCCAUGCACCUAGAGCUGGUGCUCCACAACAAGAGAAGCCACCGUAAUGAGAAGCCCGCGCACCGCAGUGAAGAGUAGCCCCUGCUCGCCACAACUAGAGAAAGCCCGC